UACGGGGGGAGCAAACGUUGUUCGGAAUUACUGGGCGUAAAGGGCGCGUAGGCGGCCUGCUAAGUCGAACGUGAAAUCCCUGGGCUCAACCCAGGAACUGCGUCCGAUACUGGUUGGCUUGAAUCCGGGAGAGGGAUGUGGAAUUCCAGGUGUAGCGGUGAAAUGCGUAGAUAUCUGGAGGAACACCGGUGGCGAAGGCGGCAUCCUGGACCGGUAUUGACGCUGAGGCGCGAAAGCCAGGGGAGCAAACGGG
rnacentral:rRNA from 1 species